GACGAACGCUGGCGGCGUGCUUAACACAUGCAAGUCGAGCGGUAAGGCCCUUUCGGGGGUACACGAGUGGCGAACGGGUGAGUAACACGUGGGUGACCUGCCCUCAGCUCUGGGAUAAGCCUGGGAAACCGGGUCUAAUACCGGAUAUGACUCCAUGACGCAUGUUGUGGGGUGGAAAGCCUUGUGCGGCUGAGGAUGGGCCCGCGGCCUAUCAGCUUGUUGGUGGGGUGAUGGCCUACCAAGGCGACGACGGGUAGCCGGCCUGAGAGGGCGACCGGCCACACUGGGACUGAGACACGGCCCAGACUCCUACGGGAGGCAGCAGUGGGGAAUCUUGCGCAAUGGGCGAAAGCCUGACGCAGCGACGCCGCGUGAGGGAUGACGGCCU
rnacentral:rRNA from 1 species